AUUCAGAAACCAAUCAUUGAAAUGGCGAACCGUCGUGGAUACCGUUGUUAAAUAUUCGAAUUACGUGCAUUUCGACUAUAAAUUAUAAUUAAUUCCGUAUUAACACUUGCGUUAAUGCAUUCUAAUGCCUUUCACUCGUUUAUCAUUCUCAAAUAUUUGCAAUUAUUAUGAACACUUAUGAGGAGGAAGAUAUCGUCAUAGUUGCACGUUGUACAUAGGUCUUGAAUACUCGAUCACAUGAAUUAUAAUCUGUAGAGGUGAUUAUAACAGGAUAUUAAUUCCAAUGUAUAUUUCAACAUGUGAAUAUUAUUUUCUUUUAUCGUUGAUCAUUAUCCCAGUGUAUUUGUUUUUCAAAUUAUGGUCAUGGCUAGGUUGGCAAUUAUUUAUAAAUAAUUAAUAUUAUGUGCAUUGUGUCUUUGGUUGAUUUUGCCUCUUUACUUUCUUUUUAUAAUACCUAGAUUUUCUUUACUGAAAAGUUAAAUAUAAAAAUUCUUCUAUGUUUAUAUAAAAACAUAAUGUUUGUACAUAAUAUCAUUAUAAACUGUUUUCCAUAAAUUAAAUAUUAAAUUUUAUU